CUGGAGAAAACCUUCAGAAAAUUGUUCUCUUCUCUUUCUUAUCAUCUUCAUGCUUCUCACUCGGGCUUUUUCUUUAUUCUCUCUCUCUCUCUUGAUUCUCUCUUUUUCUUCUUAUUCUUUUCUCUGUCUGUGUCUCUGUCUCUUUUUCUCUCUGUUUUUGUGACGAUUUUUUUUAUUCCUUUUCUGCUUGUUUACUCGUUCUUUUUGCUUCUUCCCUCAAGCUACGAGCAUCAUCAUCACCAUACAACAACAACAUGAUGGUGAUGAUGGAAAAGGCUGAGGCUGAGAUGAAGGAAGCAAAUGAACAAAAUAUUAUUAUGAAAGAGAGAAGAUAAAGAAGAGAGAGAGAGAGAAGAGAAAUGAGGAAAGUGUAGAAUUUUUGUUUUAUUCUUUUUUGUUAUGUUGACCAUUAUUACCAAAUUAAAGUGUAAAGGUUAACAUUAAUUUCUCAUCUUUUCUCUAAUCAAUUAAUUCAGUUGAAAGAUUAGUUUCCAAUUGUGAUUUUCUGGAUUUAAUCGUUUACUCUGAAUGAUUUUAAAAGAUAACAGAUUAAAGGAAAAUCAGUUACUAUUAUUUUCCAGUUUUUUUCAUUCUUUUUAACCUUUGAUCUUCCCUCUCUUUUGGUGUCGCCAUGUUUGAUUUACUGUUUUUCGCUUUUGUUUUUAUCAAUUGUUGGUUCUCAUCUUUGGUGUUUUCAUAUAUUAUCAUUAAUUGAUUAACCUUAAUUAGUAACAGGUCGAUGGAUAGAAAAAGAAAAAAUUUUUAUCAUCACUUCAUACUUUCUGCAUGAUUAUCAUUGGAUCACCGUCAUCAUCAUGUUCCUCGUCAUCAUAAUUAUUCUUGUGAUUUGCUAUUCAAACCCUGGUUUCUAACUAAAUGAGUUGCUGGUAUAUCCCAUUGACUGUUGAUAUUUAUAUUUUCUGUUGUGUUGAUUUUCAUGAGAUUUAUUUGCUCUCUCUCUAAAUGGUAAUUGUGCCAAAAACAGAGAAAGAAAAAGAAAAUGGUUGAGAACAUUAUGAGAACAUUGACAUAACAACUAAUAGAAAAUUAUGUUAAUCUUUCAUCAUGUCAUAUGUUUAAUAAUUAUUCAACUGGAAUCAAUCAUGUUGGUGGUGUAACACUGAAUGUGUGUAUAGUUGAUACGUGGAGAGGGUAAGAGAGUCAACCUUUCAUAGCGAUUAUUAUGUAUCAAUAACAACGAUCAACAAACAAUGAGAACUAUGGAUUUUCUCUAUCAUCGUCAUUCUAAAUAUUAAUCAUAUUCUUCUCACUCUUAUCUCGCUCUCUGGUAUAAUAUUGAAAGGGGGAAAAAACGAAAAGGAAGAGAAAGAAUCUAAUUAAGUGGUUAAUCAAAUGACAUUACUAAUGAUUGAACAAAAUGAUGAUGGUGCUGGAGAAAUGGUGGUGGUGGUAUUGGUAAUUCACGAUGAUAAAGUCGAUUAGAAACUCCAGGAGGAGGAGAAAAUUGAAGAGGGAAACCAGUGAUUAAGAGAGAGAGAGAGAGAGAGAUUUGCAGAAAGAGAAUAUGAAAAAAGGGAAAAGUUGUUGAUUAUUGUUGAUGUUUCUCGAUGAAAUGAAAAAAGCUUAUUACAUGAUCAUCAAUCUAAACCAUCAAACGAGAUUUCUGUCAAUAUCUGGCCUUUAGAUUGACGUCCUUGAGAGAGAGAGAGAGAGAGUGAGAGUUGUGACGAUCUACAUUGAAUACUGUUAAUGUUACUAUUUAAUGGAAAUGAUUAGUUAAACAAUUUCGGUUUCCAUACCUGAUUCCGAGUAAAAUCAAAUUAAAUUGUGAGCCAAUUCACAUUGAGGUCAACGAGUAACCUUGAAUUGGUAAGAGUACUUUUCAUGAUAAUAACGAUCGUAAUAAUUAAUAAUAAUCAUCAUCAAGAAAAUAAAAAGGGGAGAUGAUGAUGAUGAGAGGAGAGGGAGAGAUGGGUUGAAGGUGGAUUCCCUUUCCCACCAUAACUAUUAUCAUGGUAACUGAUUAUCUCCUCAUGGUUGUUUCAACGAUCAACAAUCAAUGGUAAUUAUAACAAUCAGUUGAUUAUCAAGCAAAAUCUUUUUGGUUAACAUAUUGGAGACGUUUUAAUUACGUAGUUAAAACUAAUCAACUAAUCAGCUUGUUGAUCAACAAAUCGUCAAUAUUAUUAUUACAAUUUGUUAAUCAUCAUCAUUUAAUAUCCUUGACAAUUGGAAAAGUCAAAAAGUUUAUCAAUCUCAAUAAUCCAAAUUUCUAUUGAUACACAAAUUAAUUAAUCAACAAAUUUGAAACUCUCUUGGGCUAUUACAUAAUAUUAUUAAUUGUCUAGCAAAUUGUAAAACAAUUAAA